AUUGAACGCUGGCGGCAGGCCUAACACAUGCAAGUCGAACGAGUGGCGGACGGGUGAUUAAUGUCUGGGAAACUGCCUGCUGGAGGGGGAUAACUACUGGAAACGGUAGCUAAUACCGCAUACCAUCAGAUGUUCCCAGAUGGGAUUAGCUAGUUGGUGGGGUAACGGCUCACCAAGGCGACGAUCCCUAGCUGGUCUGAGAGGAUGACCCGUCACACUGGAACUAAGACACGGACCAGACGCCUACGUGAGACAGCAGUGGGGAAUAUUGCACAAUGGGCGGAAGCCUGAUGCAGCCAUGCCGCGUGUAUGAAGAAGGCCUUCGGGUUGUAAAGUACUUUCAGCGGGGAGGCGUUACCCGAAGAAGAAGCACCGGCUAACUCAGUGCCAGCAGCCGCGGUAAUAC
rnacentral:rRNA from 1 species